rnacentral:rRNA from 1 species
CUAACUAUAAACGAUGCCGACUAGGGAUCGGUGGGCGUUAAUAUAAAAUUGUUCAGGUUAAUUCAUUUUUUUAUUUUGGUUUUUUUACCAAUUUUAAAUUUUUGAAUCCUGAACAAGAAAUGACCCCAUCGGCACCUUAAUUUGAUUACUUCUCAAUGGGAAACCAAAGUUUUUGGGUUCCGGGGGGAGUAUGGUCGCAAGGCUGAAACUUAAAGGAAUUGACGGAAGGGCACCACCAGGAGUGGAGUUUGCGGCUUAAUUUGACUCAACACGGGAAAACUCACCAGGCCCAGACAUGGUUAGGAUUGACAGAUUGAGAGCUCUUUCUUGAUUCCAUGAAAGGUGGCGCAUGGCCGUUCUUAGUUGGUGGAGUGAUUUGUCUGGUUAAUUCCGUUAACGAACGAGACCUUGGCCUGCUAACUAGGGGGGGUUAUCGUUUGGUUGAGUUCAUGAGACAAGUAUUUUUUUUCCUUGCAUUUCGGUGUUUUGGAAAAAGUAUUUGUGUUUGUGACUUUUCCAUAUUUUGCGAUAGCACCUAAGAUUUACAAAAUCUUUCAACCCUUUAUUGGACUUCUGGGAGGAGAAGAGGAUACUUACGUCUUAGUCUUCACGGAUUAGGAUGAAAAAGGCCUUUUCACCAAUCCUUCUGGUUGAUUGGUAGAGGAAAAAUCCUUCUUAGAGGGACUAUUUGCGUUUUUACAACUAGCAAAUGGAAGCGCGAGGCAAUAACAGGUCUGUGAUGCCCUUAGAUGUCCUGGGCUGCACGCGUACUACACUGACGAAUUCAACAAGUGAUUUAUACUUUGGUAGUAAAAAGGAUUUUUUAGUUCUUCACGGGACUAGAGAGUUACUUGAUUAUCAAAAACCUUGGCAGAAAUGUCUGGGUAAUCUCUUUAAAGUUCGUCGUGCUAGGGAUAGAUGAUUGUAAUUAUU